rnacentral:rRNA from 1 species
UGGGGAAUAUUGGACAAUGGGGGCAACCCUGAUCCAGCAAUGCCGCGUGAGUGAUGAAGGCCUUAGGGUUGUAAAGCUCUUUCGCACGUGACGAUGAUGACGGUAACGUGAGAAGAAGCCCCGGCUAACUUCGUGCCAGCAGCCGCGGUAAUACGAAGGGGGCUAGCGUUGUUCGGAAUUACUGGGCGUAAAGGGCGCGUAGGCGGCUGCUCAAGUCAGGCGUGAAAUCCCCGGGCUUAACCUGGGAAUUGCGCUUGAGACUGAGCGGCUUGAGUUCGGGAGAGGUGAGUGGAAUUCCCAGUGUAGAGGUGAAAUUCGUAGAUAUUGGGAAGAACACCGGUGGCGAAGGCGGCUCACUGGACCGAUACUGACGCUGAGGCGCGAAAGCGUGGGGAGCAAACA